AGCCAGCACCUCAAGUGGUCAGGAUGAUUAUUGGGCCUAAAGCAUCCGUAGCCUGUUCUGUAAGUUUUCGGUUAAAUCUAUGCGCUCAACGUAUAGGCUGCCGAAAAUACUGCAGAACUAGGGAGUGGGAGAGGUAGACGGUACUCGGUAGGAAGGGGUAAAAUCCUUUGAUCUAUUGAUGACCACCUGUGGCGAAGGCGGUCUACCAGAACACGUUCGACGGUGAGGGAUGAAAGCUGGGGGAGCAAACCGG
rnacentral:rRNA from 1 species